rnacentral:rRNA from 1 species
AUUGAACGCUAGCGGGAUGCCUUACACAUGCAAGUCGAACGGCAGCGCGGACUUCGGUCUGGCGGCGAGUGGCGAACGGGUGAGUAAUGUAUCGGAACGUGCCCAGUAGCGGGGGAUAACUACUCGAAAGAGUAGCUAAUACCGCAUACGCCCUACGGGGGAAAGGGGGGGAUAGCACGACCUCUCACUAUUGGAGCGGCCGAUAUCGGAUUAGCUAGUUGGUGAGGUAAAGGCUCACCAAGGCGACGAUCCGUAGCUGGUUUGAGAGGACGACCAGCCACACUGGGACUGAGACACGGCCCAGACUCCUACGGGAGGCAGCAGUGGGGAAUUUUGGACAAUGGGGGCAACCCUGAUCCAGCCAUUCCGCGUGUGCGAUGAAGGCCUUCGGGUUGUAAAGCACUUUUGGCAGGGAAGAAAUCGCACGGAUUAAUACUCUGUGUGGAUGACGGUACCUGCAGAAUAAGCACCGGCUAACUACGUGCCAGCAGCCGCGGUAA